UACGUAGGGGGCAAGCGUUAUCCGGAUUUACUGGGUGUAAAGGGAGCGCAGGCGGCGUGGCAAGUCAGAUGUGAAAACCCGGGGCCCAACCCCGGGAGUGCAUUUGAAACUGUUAUUCUAGAGUAUGGGAGAGGUAGGUGGAAUUCUUGGUGUAGGGGUAAAAUCCGUAGAGAUCAAGAGGAAUACUCAUUGCGAAGGCGACCUGCUAGAACAUAACUGACGCUGAUGCGCGAAAGCGUGGGGAGCAAACAGG
rnacentral:rRNA from 1 species